UAUACGUGUGGAGAAAGAAAAAAGCAUGAAUGGCUUCAGUGAUCGUAAGAGGCUGUCUGUCAGCUGGGAGUCAAUAAGUAAAAGCUGAAAGAAUAUUUUUGUCAAUAAGUAAAACCUGAGAGUAUUAGGAUAUUAAGGCCCCAGUUUUGGCUCUUUAAUUUGUUUUUAACAGCUCAAUUUGGUGGUGAAAGAAGAAAAGAUUGACAGUGGGAUCACUUUUGCUCUGUACCUGCUUUAUGACCUUAGAGCCAAGUGAGUGCUGGAAAUGGAAGACAUUGCUAAGGAGGUAGACUAAAGAGACUAGAAGUUUACCAAUGAAGAGGAGUUGAGUGGUGAUUUUAUGCAAUGGCUUCAAGCCACAGUUCACCAGUGCCUCAAGGAAGCAGCAGUGAUGUUUUCGUUAAAAAAGAGGUAGAUCCAACAAAACACAUUCGACCUGUGCAGUCACUGCCAGAUGUGUGUCCCAAGGAACCCACAGGUGAUUCACACAGUUUAUGUGUUGCCCCAUCUCUAGUUACAGAUCAACACAAAUGGACUAUAUAUCAUUCCAAAGUAAAUCUCCCAGCAGCAUUAAAUGAUCCUAGAUUAGCAAAAAGAGAAUCUGACUUCUUCACAAAAACAUGGGGAUUGGACUUUGUGGACACUGAAGUCAUACCUUCAUUCUACCUCCCACAGAUCAGCAAGGAACAUUUUACAGUAUAUCAACAGGAAAUCUCUCAGAGAGAGAAGAUUCACGCAAGAUGCAAGAAUAUUUGUCCUCCUAAAGAUACCUUUGACAGGACUCUCUUACAUACUCAUGAUAAAUCCAGGACAGAUCUGGAGCAAGUACCUAAGAUUUUUAUGAAACCAGAUUUUGCCUUGGACGAUUCUUUAACUUUUAAUUCAGUUUUACCAUGGUCUCAUUUUAAUACUGCUGGUGGAAAAGGAAAUCGUGAUGCAGCUUCCUCAAAGUUGCUACAAGAAAAGCUGAGCCAUUACCUGGAUAUUGUGGAAGUAAACAUUGCUCACCAGAUCUCUCUACGUUCAGAAGCAUUUUUUCAUGCAAUGACCUCUCAACACGAAUUGCAGGACUACCUCAAGAAAACUUCCCAGGCUGUAAAAAUGCUUCGAGAUAAAAUUGCACAGAUUGAUAAAGUAAUGUGUGAAGGAUCACUACACAUUUUAAGACUGGCACUUAGCAGAAAUAAUUGUGUUAAAGUGUACAAUAAACUGAAGUUAAUGGCCACUGUACACCAGACUCAACCUACAGUACAGGUGUUGUUAUCUGCUUCUGAAUUCGUUGGAGCAUUGGACUUAAUAGCAACAACACAAGAGGUUUUACAGCAGGAACUUCAGGGCAUUCACAGCUUCCGGCAUUUGGGAUCACAGCUUUGUGAAUUAGAAAAACUGAUAGAUAAAAUGAUGAUUGCAGAAUUUUCUACUUAUUGUCACAGUGACUUAAAUAGACCACUGGAAGAUGACUGUCAAAUUUUAGAAGAGGAAAGACUAGUAUCUCUUGUAUUUGGACUUUUAAAACAAAGAAAACUUAAUUUUUUAGAAAUCUAUAGUGAAGAAAUGAUUAUUACGGCAAAGAAUAUCAUUAAACAGUGUGUGAUUAAUAAAGUUUCACAAAUAGAAGAACUAGACACAGAUGCUGUUACGAAGCUCGCAGAUCAGAUGAGAAUGUUGAAUUUUCCUCAGUGGUUUGAUCUGCUAAAGGAUAUUUUCUUUAAGUUUACAGUUUUCCUACAGAGAGUUAAGGCAACGUUAAAUAUCAUUCACAAUGUUGUUCUCUCAGUUCUUGACAAAAACCAAAGAACUAGAGAAAUGGAGGAUAUUUUGCAACAGAAGAAUGCUGCAAAGGAUAAUUCACUGGACACAGAGGUGGCAUAUUUAAUCCACGAAGACAUAUUUAUAAGUGAUGCAUUCAGUGAGAGUGAAUUAACACCUAUAACAAGUGACACUACCUCUCAAAGAAAUGCAUCUCCAAAUAGUGAGCCCUGCAGCAGUGAUUCGGUAUCUGAACCAGAAUGUACUACUGAUUCUUCAUCCAGCAAAGAGCAGACAUCAUCAUCAGCUAUUCCAGGAGGUGUGGACAUUAUGGUGAAUGAAGACAUGAAAUUAACUGACUUAGAACUAGGAAAGCUGGCAAAUAAUAUCCAGGAGUUACUGUAUAGUGCCUCAGACAUAUGCCAUGAUCGAGCUGUCAAAUUUCUCAUGUCAAGAGCAAAGGAUGGUUUUCUUGAGAAGCUAAAUUCCACGGAAUUCAUAACACUUUCUAGGUUAAUGGAAACAUUCAUUUUAGACACUGAACAGAUCUGUGGAAGAAAAAGCAUGUCAUUACUUGGAGCACUUCAGAGCCAAGCUAAUAAAUUUGUAAAUAGGUUUCAUGAAGAGAGAAAAACCAAGCUCAGCCUCCUUUUAGACAAUGAGCGCUGGAAACAAGCUGAUGUACCUGCAGAAUUUCAGGAUCUUGUUGAUUCUCUAUCAGAUGGAAAGAUUGCUUUACCUGAAAAAAAGUCAGGGGCUAAAGAAGAAAGGAAACCAGCUGAAGUUCUCAUUGUUGAGGGACAACAGUAUGCUGUUGUUGGAACUGUAUUGUUGUUGAUAAGAAUUAUCCUUGAAUAUUGCCAGUGUGUGGAUAAUAUCCCAUCUGUUACUACUGACAUGCUUACUCGUCUGUCAGAUUUAUUGAAGUACUUCAAUUCAAGAAGUUGUCAGUUAGUUCUUGGAGCUGGUGCACUGCAAGUUGUUGGACUAAAAACAAUAACUACAAAAAAUUUGGCCCUUUCUUCACGCUGUUUGCAGUUAAUUGUGCACUACAUUCCUGUGAUCCGGGCUCAUUUUGAAGCCCGGCUGCAGCCUAAGCAAUAUAGCAUGCUUAGGCAUUUUGAUCAUAUCACUAAGGAUUACCAUGACCACAUAGCUGAAAUAUCAGCUAAGCUUGUAGCGAUAAUGGAUAGCUUAUUUGACAAGCUGUUAUCUAAGUAUGAGGUGAAAGCUCCUGUUCCUUCUCCUUGUUUCAGGAAUAUUUGUAAGCAAAUGACAAAAAUGCAUGAAGCUAUAAUUGACCUCCUUCCAGAAGAGCAAACACAAAUGCUAUUUUUAAGGAUUAAUGCAAGUUACAAACUCCACUUGAAAAAGCAGUUGUCUCAUUUAAAUGUGAUAAAUGAUGGAGGACCUCAAAAUGGGUUGGUCACAGCAGAUGUAGCUUUUUACACUGGAAAUCUUCAAGCCUUAAAAGGCCUUAAAGAUUUGGACCUAAAUAUGGCUGAGAUCUGGGAACAGAAGAGGUGAUGACAUACUGGAAAACUGGGUAGCCUGACCAUGGGAUGUAUGUGUUUAAGAAAAUAUGGAUGCCUGUGAUUCAAGAACUGAACCUGGAACCCAAGUGAACUGGGGAAUUCAGUUUUUUUUCAGUGACCAAUGUCAAGUUUUAGGCUUUGUGUGCUGCAUAUUUAAUCUUUCUACAACCACUGGGUGAAGCCUUCCAGAAUAGUCUAAAUACUUGAAAGGAUGAUCACAAGUAAUAAAGAAUAAGGUAUUAGUGUUCAUUUAUGAGCUAAUUUAAAUACUUUUCAGAAGUGAUAUAUGAAAGCCUGCAGUUUAAUAGUUGUAUUUUUAUAAAAAAUAUGAAGGGUUUUUUUUGCCUUUUUUAUUUCUAGCAGAGGUAAGAAUACAUUUUUAUAUAUUCUGCCUACUUAUGAGUUUUCAUUUUAACAUGUAACAUAUGCAGUGUGGCUCCCUUGGGUUCUUGUUUUUAAGUUACUUUCGAUGUGUAUAUGAACAAAGACCAGGGAGAAAUAGAAAAUAUAAGCUGCUGUGUUGGGGCCUGAAAUACAAGGUGAUGAGUAAGUUAUUUAAAGACUUUUUUUUUUUUAAUCCUCACCUGAGGAUGUUCAUUGAUUUUAAAGAGAGAAAGGGAAAGAGAAAGUAUGUGUGUGUGUGGAGGGGGGAGGGAGACAUAAAUUGGUUGCUUUUCAUUCACGCCCCAACCGGGUACUGAGCCUGCAAUCUAGAUAUGUGCCCUGUCCGGAAAUUGGACCCACAGCCUUUCGGUGUAUGGGAUGAUGCUCCAACCAACUGAGCCACACCGGCCAGGGUAAACUUUAUAAGUUACCUUCAAAAUAGAAUCAGCAGCACGCUACAAAUGAAAGUGCCUGUGUCUCACCUCACACCAGGAAUCUUGCCUAACCCUAUCAGAGUGCCUAACUUUGUAGUGAUUAUGUACAAUGAAAUAGCCUUAUUUUGUGCUCUUUGAUCUCCUAAAAGGAAAGCCUGUUUUCUUUCCUUUAUCAUUACAGAGGUAUGUCAUUGGUUCUUAACUGUCUGUCUAAAAUAAAGCUGUAAACAAUUACCAGA